rnacentral:rRNA from 1 species
GACGAACGCUGGCGGCGUGCUUAACACAUGCAAGUCGAGCGGUAAGGCCCUUUCGGGGUACGACGAGCGGCGAACGGGUGAGUAACACGUGGGUGACCUGCCCUCAGCUCUGGGAGUAAGCCUGGGAAACCGGGGUACUAAUACCGGAUAUGACUCCAUGACGCAUGUUGUGGGGUGGAAAGCCUUGUGCGGCUGAGGAUGGGCCCGCGGCCCAUCAGCUUGUUGGUGGGGUGAUGGCCUACCAAGGCGACGACGGGUAGCCGGCCUGAGAGGGCGACCGGCCACACUGGGACUGAGACACGGCCCAGACUCCUACGGGAGGCAGCAGUGGGGAAUCUUGCGCAAUGGGCGAAAGCCUGACGCAGCGACGCCGCGUGAGGGAUGACGGCCUGUGU